GCUUGGAGGUGCACAAAUAUUUCAGGCCAGCAGCUGUGGUACAUUGCUUUGCAAUGUACAGAAUGCUCCUGAUGGUGGUGAUCAAGCCAUUCUGGCAAGGAGGUUUGCGCUUGGACCUUUAGUGAUUUUUUGAAGAUCUACCUGAACUGCCAUCCUGCUAUCCAACCCAUGGAGCUGGCCAGGAAGGUCUCCUUCUCCUGAUUUCCAGCACCAAGGGGCCUCCUCCACGGGUUAGAGUCCCUAACAGAUCUUGUUUAUAAAGACAUGGCAUCAGUGAGACAGGCGAAUAAAUGGUUACAAAGGACGUCAAAAAGUCUGUUGACUUUGUCAAUGAAGUCCGCGGUGCCCUUGGCCUCAGGUGGG